GACGAACGCUGGCGGCGUGCUUAACACAUGCAAGUCGAACGGUAAGGCCCUUCGGGGUACACGAGUGGCGAACGGGUGAGUAACACGUGGGUGAUCUGCCCUGCACUUCGGGAUAAGCCUGGGAAACUGGGUCUAAUACCGGAUAGGACCAUGGACUUCACGGUUUGUGGUGGAAAGCUUUUGCGGUGUGGGAUGGGCCCGCGGCCUAUCAGCUUGUUGGUGGGGUAAUGGCCUACCAAGGCGACGACGGGUAGCCGGCCUGAGAGGGUGUCCGGCCACACUGGGACUGAGAUACGGCCCAGACUCCUACGGGAGGCAGCAGUGGGGAAUAUUGCACAAUGGGCGCAAGCCUGAUGCAGCGACGCCGCGUGAGGGAUGACGGCCUCGGGUUGUAAACCUCGUUUCAAUAGGGACGAAGCGCAAGUGACGGUACC
rnacentral:rRNA from 1 species